UACGAAGGGAGCUAGCGUUGUUCGGAAUUACUGGGCGUAAAGGGCUCGUAGGCGGCCAACUAAGUCGGAUGUGAAAUCCCCAGGCUCAACCUGGGAACUGCAUCCGAUACUGGAUGGCUUGAAUUCGGGAGAGGGAUGCAGAAUUCCAGGUGUAGCGGUGAAAUGCGUAGAUAUCUGGAGGAAUACCGGUGGCGAAGGCGGCAUCCUGGACCGACAUUGACGCUGAUGAGCGAAAGCUAGGGGAGCAAACGGG
rnacentral:rRNA from 1 species